AGAAAUCUUAUUCAAAAUUUUGCUUUCCUCCCCCACUGGUUGUCCUUUUCAUAAACAUCUCACCCAUGAUAGCAGGGAAUCAGUCCCUCUAACUAUUCCCUAAGAACAACAAAGAGAUUAUGAAGGUGAUGAUGAGGAUAAAGAGGAUGACGACAGACACCAUGGCAUCAUGAACCCUUACUGAGGGCUUCCUAAAGGCCAGGCUCUGAGCUCUGUGCUCUAUGCAGCUUGUUUCAUUUCAUCUGCAUAGUCUCCACGUUAUUAGUGCACAUUUCAUGAUGAUUUUACAGACUAGAAAAAGCGCAACGGAUUUUCAUGCAGCUUGUACCAGAUCACGAAGUCAAAAAGGGCGAAGUCCAAUUUGAACCAGGCAGUCUAAGUCCAGACACAUGGCAUUUGGCAAGUCCUCUCCCUGCAACCAACCUGCCCUCUCAAAUCCUCGUCACUCAGGCGGAUGCCCCUACUCACUGUGCCCUUCCCUUUGUGGGUUCCUUGUUGACCACAGCUAGACCAGUGGGUGCCACAAUCACUGUGUCAUGUAUAGAAAGGGCAGCUGAGAUCACAUCAAGGAUUCCAGAAAGAAUUUGCACAGGAUCAUUCGGGACGCAUCUCUCCCUUGCCCCUGUUCCUGGCUUUCCUUACAGCUCUCAACUUCCUCAAAGGAGUCAUCAAUUCGGAGUUUGGCUUCCAUUCCUAUUGAGGAAGCUGGAAAGUGUUUCAAAAAUGCUCCUCCGAUGUGCCUGUGGUUAAGACCUCUGAGCUCUGCUUAAAACUCUUUGAAGCUGGGCGCGUUGGCUCAAGUGUGUAAUCCCAGCCCUUUGGGAGGCUGAGGCAGGCGAAUCACAAGGUCAGGAUUUCGAGACCAGCCUGGCCAACAUGGUGAAACCCUGUUUCUACUAAAAAUACCAAAAAAACUCAAAAAAAUUAGCCAGGCAUGGUGGCAUACGCCUGUCAUCCCAGCUACUGGGGAGGCUGAGACAGGAGACUCCUUUGAAGCCGGGAGACAGAGGUUGCAGUGAAUCGAGAUCACGCCACUGCACUCCUGCCUGGGCAACAGAGCAAGACUCCGUCUCAAAAAAAUAAAUAAAUAAAAAUUACGAAAAAAUGGCAAACUUUAGCCGUUAGCUCACGUACCACUUUGGAAGGGCAUACCUUUAGUCACUUCACCCUUUAAUCCCUUUGCUCAAGACUAAAGUUCUGAGAGGAAGACUAAUCGGCUGAGUUGUGUCCAUGUGGGCAGUGCAGGAAAGGAUGCAGCGGGACGCUGCUCCAGGGAUGUCUUUGGCUUCCAUCAUGGGGGAGCAGGCGCCUGGAUUACCCACCCUAACAAAUCUGGACAAAGGAAAACGAGG
rnacentral:lncRNA from 10 species